rnacentral:rRNA from 1 species
AGAGUUUGAUCCUGGCUCAGGAUGAACGCUGGCGGCGUGCUUAACACAUGCAAGUCGAACGAAGCACUUUAUUUGAUUUCCUUCGGGACUGAUUAUUUUGUGACUGAGUGGCGGACGGGUGAGUAACGCGUGGGUAACCUGCCUUGUACAGGGGGAUAACAGUUGGAAACGGCUGCUAAUACCGCAUAAGCGCACAGCAUCACAUGAUGCAGUGUGAAAAACUCCGGUGGUAUAAGAUGGACCCGCGUUGGGUUAGCUAGUUGGUGAGGUAACGGCCCACCAAGGCGACGAUCCAUAGCCGACCUGAGAGGGUGACCGGCCACAUUGGGACUGAGACACGGCCCAAACUCCUACGGGAGGCAGCAGUGGGGAAUAUUGCACAAUGGGCGAAAGCCUGAUGCAGCGACGCCGCGUGAGCGAAGAAGUAUUUCGGUAUGUAAAGCUCUAUCAGCAGGGAAGAUAAUGACGGUACCUGACUAAGAAGCACCGGCUAAAUACGUGCCAGCAGCCGCGGUAAUACGUAUGGUGCAAGCGUUAUCCGGAUUUACUGGGUGUAAAGGGAGCGCAGGCGGUGCGGCAAGUCUGAUGUGAAAGCCCGGGGCUCAACCCCGGUACUGCAUUGGAAACUGUCGUACUAGAGUGUCGGAGGGGUAAGCGGAAUUCCUAGUGUAGCGGUGAAAUGCGUAGAUAUUAGGAGGAACACCAGUGGCGAAGGCGGCUUUCUGGACUGUAACUGACGUUGAGGCGCGAAAGCGUGGGGAGCAAACAGGAUUAGAUACCCUGGUAGUCCACGCCGUAAACGAUGGAUGCUAGGUGUGGGAGGUAUCGACCCCUUCCGUGCCGCAGUUAACGCAAUAAGCAUCCCGCCUGGGGAGUACGGCCGCAAGGUUGAAACUCAAAGGAAUUGACGGGGGCCCGCACAAGCAGCGGAGCAUGUGGUUUAAUUCGACGCAACGCGAAGAACCUUACAGGACUUGACAUCUGAUUAAGCUUGUGGAAACACAAGGUCCCUUCGGGGGAAUCAAGACAGGUGGUGCAUGGUUGUCGUCCGCUCGUGUCGUGAGAUGUUGGGUUAAGUCCCGCAACUAGCGCAACCCUUAUUUCCAGUUACUAACAGGCAAAGCUGAGGACUCUGGAGAGACCGCCGGGGACAACUCGGAGGAAGGUGGGGACGACGUCAAAUCAUCAUGCCCCUUAUGUUCUGGGCUACACACGUGCUACAAUGGUGACUACAAAGAGAAGCGAAAUCGUAAGGUAGAGCGGAUCUCAAAAAAGUCAUCUCAGUUCGGAUUGUGGGCUGCAACCCGCCCACAUGAAGUCGGAGUUGCUAGUAAUCGCGGAUCAGCAUGCCGCGGUGAAUACGUUCCCGGGCCUUGUACACACCGCCCGUCACACCAUGGGAGUUUGGAGCACCCGAAGUCAGUGAGGUAACCGCAAGGAGCCAGCUGCCGAAGGUGAGCCAGAUGACUGGGGUGAAGUCGUAACAAGGUA